rnacentral:rRNA from 1 species
AUUGAACGCUGGCGGCAUGCUUUACACAUGCAAGUCGAACGGUAACAGGGUGCUUGCACCGCUGACGAGUGGCGAACGGGUGGGUAAUGCGUCGGAACGUGCCGAGUAGUGGGGGAUAACGCAGCGAAAGUUGUGCUAAUACCGCAUACGUACUGAGGUAGAAAGCGGGGGACCUUCGGGCCUCACGCUAUUCGAGCGGCCGACGUCUGAUUAGCUAGUAGGUGAGGUAAAGGCUCACCUAGGCGACGAUCAGUAGCGGGUCUGAGAGGAUGAUCCGCCACACUGGGACUGAGACACGGCCCAGACUCCUACGGGAGGCAGCAGUGGGGAAUUUUGGACAAUGGGCGAAAGCCUGAUCCAGCCAUGCCGCGUGUCUGAAGAAGGCCUUCGGGUUGUAAAGGACUUUUGUCAGGGAGGAAAUCCCUAGUGCUAAUAACACUGGGGGAUGACAGUACCUGAAGAAUAAGCACCGGCUAACUACGUGCCAGCAGCCGCCGCGG